UCUCAAUGAGAGAGCGCUCGAGUCCCGUCACCGCCUCAUCACUUCCCAGCCCCCACCCCUUCGUGGCGACAAGAUUGGAAAGAUCUUUUAAGCUGCGGUUGCUUCUGCGACGAUCUCUGCCUUUCUGAUUUUAUUGCAGGAGAAUGAUUGGCGAAGAUAAGAGCUUUCUGAUUUUAUUGCAAGAGAAUGAUUCAUUGGCAGACAGAAGAGAGGCUCCAGAUCUGAUAAGGAAGGCUUUGCUGCAGAUUUUGAUUGGGAGGAGAGGGAUGCGGAAGAGAAGAUGUGAUUUUAUGUGAGGAGGAGGCGGAGGAGAAUGGGUGGUUGACAGAAGAGAGCGAGCACACGGCGGGGGGAAAUGGUAUGGUAUGAUGCUGUUUCCGUUGCGUGCUCACUUCUCUUCCUGUCAACCCUUGCUAUCAUCGUCGCAUGCUCUCGCUCUCUCUCUCUCUCUUCUCUCUCUCUCUCUCUCUCUCUCUCUCCCAGCGAGGAAAAGGGGAAAAGAUGUAAAGAUGAUAUCUUUAUCUCGGGAAAUGGCUACGCGUGUGGCGAUCGCUGCGUUCUCGAUUCAUCAAAAUGGUUGUUUAUUAUUAUUCAUUAACAUUGCCCUUGCUGCAGCCGGUCGUCUCCCUUUAAUUUCUUGUCUUUGAUAUAUGCGUCAGUCGUCGCGAGAGGAACACCGCGACGGAUGAUUUCCGAGGACGAUGGUGAUGUAAUCGCUUGUACAUACGGCUCUCCGAAUGAUCCUUAUCCUUUCUUUCUUUUGUGAGAGGGUAGGGAAAAUUAUGGGGAGAAGCAGAAACUGAAGCCGUGGAACCCUGAGAAAAACGUGGCUUUUGAGGAGCAGAAGGGGGCGACCGUCCACCUCUCUUCGGGAAUCGGAUCGGGUCGGAUGAAGGUGGGUAGGGUUGCGUACAUGCAUCUCCCGUGCACACUGUGCGGAUCUACGGAAACCACUGUUCGGAUGUUCUUUUUUCCUUUUUCUUUAUGUCAUCCUUUGUGCUACGACUCUCUGGAAGCAUCUUCGUCUCUCUUGUUUGCUUUCUAUUCUCUUUGGCUAGGGGUUGUUCUGGGCGUUUCGAUGGUGGCUGAUUGAGGUACCAGAUCCGGAAUUUGUUUCUCCCCAACAUUGUGUGUUCGUAGAACCAAGAUGGAAUUUUGGCGAAGAUCCUGAUUCAAAUGAAUCAGUGGUUCUCUAGCACGUGUUAUUUUAUCGAGGAACUUCUUCAUGCUGCGGAGGUCACAUAUUGAUAAUAGAUGUCUUUUAUAAGGGUUUGGUGAAUUGUGGAUAUGAUGUGAAGGCUAUAAGUGGAUGGUGCCAGUUAAAGUCAAGUGUUACGCAGGUGAACUGUCAAGUUGAGGUCUCGCGAAGAUCACAAAGUGUUGUAUGUAUGAACAAAACUUAUUUUAGCUAAUUUAUGAUUUCUUCAACUUAUGGUGUACUUGGGUUACUCUCUUGAGACUCUUAAAAGAACUUUUGAAUUGGUAGCUGUUGGAACCUUCAUAUCGUCUCUACUGAAGCCUGAUAAUAUUGCACAGCCAUAAUAAAUCAUGUUCUAAAGGAUCGGUAAUCUCAAUCUAGAUGGAUCAGUUUCCUCAGCUCCAAGAGACAAUAUCAUGUAUUGGACCCAUCUUGGAGAUAUGUCGAAUCGGUACAUACUGAUUAGUACCGAUGUAAUGUCACAUGAUACACCAGUAUGUACCAAUGGAGAACAGAAUAGGAAAAAGGGGAAAAGAAGGAGAGGAACUGGUGAAGGAAGACGGAAUAAGAGGAGAAGAGGUGGGAGCAUAUCGAGGAAGAAGGAACGUGGGGCAAUGGCAUGAUGUGAUAGUGACAAUAGUGUUUGGAAGCAGCGACGGUAAAGCUGCAGUUGCGACAACAAUGAUGGCAAUAACGUUGUAAGCGAGAAGACGGCUCAUGUUCGUGAGCCCUAAUUUGUUUCUUUUUCUUUUUUAAUGGCAAGAUGGAUGGGCCCCAUCAUUUUUCUGAUUUUGUUAUUAUUUUAACUGGAUCAUCCAAAACGGGGGUGGUCCGUGUAUUUGCUGUUGCUCAGAUUGGUACAUAUCGCCUGUACCACAUCGGUUCGGGCGGUACAACAAUCCUUGGUUUUAGUCCCAAUAAUCCAAUCUACUUUGCUAUAUCUUGGCAUAAUGUUGUUGAAUUCCUUUGAAGUCUUUAAUUUGGGAUUAGGUAUAAGGUAAAAGCACACUUGACCAUUAAAAGUUGACAGUCCUUUGUUGUCACAAUAUCUGUUUUAAAGUCAUUUAUGAUCCUAAAAAAAAUAAUGUCGUAAUAAUGUUUUGUGCACACCCAUCAAACAAAUAGUAAAAUUUUCUUUUAUUUUAUCAUGAAUCUAAAAAAUAUUUGGACGAAACUUUUCCUUGCAGCUCUGCAAGAAAAUAUGCUUGUAGUCUGUGCUACAUUAAUAUAUACUGUCCUAGUAAGUGAGACAUGAAUAUGCCAUAACUGAUAGCUUGUUUUAAUGGCAUUGUGCUUGAGCUGUUGCAUAUUUUAUACAUUUGGUGAAAAAUGGAGUAAUAAUAAUUAAAACAAUGGAAAUUUUCAAUCAUCUUUAUGUUGUUAAUCACCAACUUGUUCUCAUUUGUUCAUUUGGAUUGAAUCAAGGGUCAUAGUGUGAUUUAUGGGUCUUGAGUUCUGUGAAGCACUGGCAAUCAUAAGUAAAUGCAGAGGUUUAUAAUCAUAUUGUCAUGGGUUUCAUCCUAUUUAUUACUAAUUAAAUGCAUGGAAUUAAUCUUUACAAGAUUCUUGUGUGUUAAGAUGAUUAUCUGUAGCGUAAACAUCAAUGACACUUUUAAUUUAUCCUUGUAAGCUUUGAAUAAGGCUGUAUGUUUAUCAGCAAGUUGGACCGGUGACUUAAUUUUGAAAUAGAAUCUUGAAUCAAAUCCAAGCUGCAAUUACAAUUCAUCUGCCACAUUCUGGACCAAUUUCAAUCAAAUUAUCAUAAAUUGUCAUGAUUAAAUUUCUUUUGAGGCGAUUAAUUGUUUGGAUGUGUGGAAGUAGUAUUAGGACCUUCAAAUUUGUAAUUUUUACUAGUUGGUUGUAUCUGAAAUGGUGUCGAAAAGGUUUUCCUUCUUGUGUUUUAUAUUUGAAAAGGUUUGGUAGAUAGCUGAACAGUGAAUAAGAUUCUUUGUCCUUGUUGAGAUGUCAAAUCAAAUGAUUGAAUAAGAACACCCAUCAGAUCUGUGUCAAAAGAACAUCUAGCAUUGGGUUUUGACAAUUGACCCCAAUAUGAUUUGUGACAAAAUCUAGCAUUGGGUUUUGACAAUUGACCCCAAUAUGAUUUGUGACAAAAUAUCGUUUGUAUCAAUCUUGGUUAAGAUGACAAAUCAAAUGACUGAAUUUAGCAAAGAAGCUCAACCAGACCCGCAUCCAUAAAAAUAUCUAUAAUUAGACUGGAAAAAGGCUUGGCACUACUUGAACUUUGUCUAAUUGAAUAUGAUUUGAUCAAAUGGAUGCACUACCACCAUUCGAAGUUUUUGAGAAGCAUAAUUUAGGUGUAAUUUACAAUUUUUCAUUGACUAAUUCACAUCUAGAUGAAGCUACAAUUGAAUUCGAGAGCCUUGAACUCACAAUGAACAGUGUUAACUAAAUCUGAGACAAAAAUUAAAUUAUAUGGAUCUCGAUUUGGAUCUGAUAAAAAUUUCAGGUUACUUUAUUUUUGAUCUGACCUUUUGGAUAUGCUGACCCCGAACAUGGUAGCCGUGUUUUUUCCUGAUGAUUGGAUGAUUUUGUUAACCUCCAUCCAUUGGCUAAAUUGUAUAGCUGAUUGUGUUCUCAAACUUUCUGAAGAACAUCAUCAAUCACCAUAUUUUCACUGUGGAUAGAGGAUUUUCACAUCAUAGAUUAAUAAAUAAAUAAAUUUUACUUGAUUGAUACAAUUCCACAGGUUCUCCUUACAUGGAGCACAGAAUAAUUUGUCUUAAUAUUUGUU